UUUUUAGUGAUGCGUGACAAUUUUGCUGGAAAAAUUAAUCGGCAGAAAAUAAAGUUGUGAUCGUGUGUGACCUAUGGGCCCAUUCUAACUCGGGGAUCAACUUCAUCAUCUAUGGCUUCACCCAUACAGGCAUGCGUAGGGCAUACUUGCAGUGGUACAAAAGAGCAUCACAAUUGCUUCUGCUGUGCAGACCAAAAAAUGAAGAUAGUGACAACCAAAAGAAUCGAACCCAAACCAGAAAUACUACAAAUUGUAACUGAUGAAAAAAAACUGGCUCUUUAUUUCGCUGGCUAUCAUAAUGAUUUCAUCCUCCCCUUGAAGCCAAUUUUCCCUUUAAAAAAUUGAAAUCAUACAAUUUA